UACAGAGGGGGCAAGCGUUGUUCGGAAUUACUGGGCGUAAAGGGCGCGUAGGCGGCCUGCUAAGUCGAACGUGAAAUCCCCGGGCUUAACCCGGGAACUGCGUCCGAUACUGGCUGGCUUGAAUCCGGGAGAGGGAUGCGGAAUUCCAGGUGUAGCGGUGAAAUGCGCAGAUAUCGGGAGGAACACCAGUAGCGAAGGCGGCUCGCUGGGCCGUUCCUGACGCUGAGACGCGAAAGCUAGGGGAGCGAACAGG
rnacentral:rRNA from 1 species